UUAGUUAUGGCAGUGUGGUUAAGGCGACAGACUCGAAAUCUUUUGGGAUAUUCCCGCGCAGGUUCGAAUCCUGCCGACUACG
rnacentral:tRNA from 1 species